rnacentral:tRNA from 39 species
CGGGAUAUAGCGCAGUUUGGUAGCGCGCCUGCUUUGGGAGCAGGAUGUCGCAGGUUCAAGUCCUGCUAUCCCGA